CCACCCAAUCAGUUCAAACCCCCACUAGCAGUUAAAAGGAAGAAACAGCUGCGAUCACACAUUGCUCCCAGAAGCACGAAGCUGAAGCCUGAAGAUGACGAAUGAGACUUCGUCGAAACGUCGCCAAGACACUUCCAAUUUUACACGGGAGAAAACCCGAACAACCAAAGACCUAUAUAUAUAUAUAUAUAUACACACAUAUUGCACACUUUUCUUUGAAACCUUUUUAGAUAGCUCUUUGGGACCAUGCUGUAGGCUGAGCAUAGCGUUUCUAUCGCACUGCAAUGCUUCACCUUUAACAGCAGACCACACCAGCAGUUAGUAAAUUGAGGGGUGGGAAAGUGGAAGAAAGUAUUUCCAGAUUGCAUUUCAAUUUUCUUAAAUAAAGGGUAAUUCAUACAGUCCAUUAGCACCACAAUUUUCAAAUAGUUUUACCUCUCCCACUUUUCCUUCUUUUCAUUAACUUGCAUAAACAAAAUUGGGGAAGAUACAAAGCCUGGAUAUAAAAAAACCCUGUUUUUGUUUUUUCAUAUCCCAGCAUUUUAGAUGAUUCCACAUGGCAGGCCGCGCUUCUUCCAACUAUGUGGAUAUAUGGAAGCAAUUAUGGCCAGAAAUAAUAAAAAUUAUAUUGCCUCACACGUGGAGGUCCUGCCUGCAAGACUGGGAGGAGAAAAGUAGAUACAGAAUCAGAUUCUUCUAUCAUACAAUGUGCAAUGAGCUGUCUUGAUGAAAGAGGUCACCUUCUCAGAUUCUGGGAGUUGAGAAAGGAGAACUGAGAGGAACAUCAAUGGGAAAUCCAGAAAGCCAGUCUAACAUAGCAGCUAAGACAUUUGGUUCUGGUGGAAGAGACCCUGAUUCAUGGCCACCUAAUUUAUUUAUUUGCUGCCUAUCUUGCCAUGGGGCUACUCUAGGCAAUCUACUUCCAUGAGAUUCAUUGGGAAACAGCUCAACCUAUCCAAUGGAAUUGUUGUAAGGAAAAUUGGAGGAGGGAAUACUAUAGUGUAUGCAGUCUUGAUUUCCUGGAAGAAAGGCAGAAUGUGAAGAAAAUAUAUUAUAAUAAUGUUAUCCUUAUUUGUUGUUGGUCUGAUGCUUAUUUCUGGUGGCAGGAUAUGGGUUUUUAGAAAGAAAGGGAGGAGAAUAAA